UACGGAAGGCAGCAGGGGGAAUAUUGCACAAUGGGCGCAAGCCUGAUGCAGCCAUGCCGCGUGUAUGAAGAAGGCCUUCGGGUUGUAAAGUACUUUCAGUCGUGAGGAAGGUGUUAAGGUUAAUAACCUUAGCAAUUGACGUUAGCGACAGAAGAAGCACCGGCUAACUCCGUGCCAGCAGCCGCGGUAAUACGGAGGGUGCGAGCGUUAAUCGGAAUUACUGGGCGUAAAGGGCACGCAGGCGGUUAAUUAAGUUGGAUGUGAAAUCCCCGGGCUUAACCUGGGAAUGGCAUUCAAGACUGGUUAGCUAGAGUCUUGUAGAGGGGGUAGAAUUCCAUGUGUAGCGGUGAAAUGCGUAGAGAUGUGGAGGAAUACCGGUGGCGAAGGCGGCCCCUGGACAAAGACUGACGCUCAUGUGCGAAAGCGUGGGGAGCAAACGAGGGAUUAGAUAC
rnacentral:rRNA from 1 species